UCUAAUAUGACAGAUUAUAUGUAAUGGAUUUAAACCUCAUUUAUAAAGGAUUAUCCUUUUUUUAGAA
rnacentral:tRNA from 2 species